UAGGGGAUAUUGGGCAAUGGAGGCAACUCUGACCCAGCCAUGCCGCGUGCAGGAAGACAGUUCUCUGGAUUGUAAACUGCUUUUGAAUGGGAAGAAUGUGUGGCUUGCGAGCUAUAAUGACGUUGCCAUUAGAAUAAGCCACGGCUAACUACGUGCCAGCAGCCGCGGUAAUACGUAGGUGGCGAGCGUUAUCCGGAUUUAUUGGGUUUAAAGGGUGCGUAGGCGGCUUAAUAAGUCGGUGGUUAAAAGUAGCAGCUUAACUGUUUUACAUGCCAUCGAUACUGUUGAGCUUGAGAUAUUUGGAGGCAGCUAGAAUAUCCGGUGUAGCGGUGAAAUGCAUAGAUACCGGAAGGAAUACCAAUUGCGAAGGCAGGUUGCUACGAAUAAACUGACGCUGAUGCACGAAAGCGUGGGGAUCAAACA
rnacentral:rRNA from 1 species